GACGAACGCUGGCGGCGUGCUUAACACAUGCAAGUCGAACGAAGUGGCGAACGGGUGAGUAACGCGUAAUCAACCUGCCCUUCAGAGGGGGACACCAGUUGGCAACGACUGCUACUACCGCAUACUGAAGGAGGUGAUUGCGUCUGAUUAGCUAGUUGGAGGGGUAACGGCCCACCAAGGCGAUGAUCAGUCGCCGGUCUGAGAGGAUGAACGGCCAGAUUGGGACUGAGACACGGCCCAGACUCCUACGGGAGGCAGCAGUGGGGAAUAUGGGACAAUGGGCGAAAGACUGAUCCAGACAUGCCGCGUGUGUGAAGAAGGUCUUCGGAUGGUAAAGCACUGUAAGUUGGGAUGCGUUACCAACAGAAUAAGCACCGGCUAACUUCGUGCCAGCAGCCGCGGUAAUAC
rnacentral:rRNA from 1 species